rnacentral:rRNA from 1 species
UUGAUUAGGGUGCUAGUAGUCGAUGACCAUGAUCUCGUUCGUACAGGCAUUACACGAAUGCUGGCUGACAUCGAUGGCCUGCAAGUAGUCGGCCAGGCCGAAUCGGGGGAGGAAUCCCUGAUCAAGGCCCGGGAGUUGAAACCCGAUGUGGUUUUGAUGGACGUCAAGAUGCCCGGGAUCGGCGGUCUUGAGGCCACUCCGAAAUUGUUGCGCAGCCAUCCGGACAUCAAAGUCGUGGUGGUGACCGUGUGCGAGGAAGACCCGUUUCCAACACGCCUGUUGCAAGCAGGCGCGGCGGGCUACCUCACCAAGGGCGCGGGUCUGGCGGAGAUGGUGCAAGCCAUUCGUCUGGUGUUUGCCGGGCAGCGGUAUAUCAGCCCGCAGAUCGCCCAGCAGUUGGCGAUCAAAUCGUUUCAGACCACCAGUGACUCGCCGUUUGAUGCACUUUCGGAACGGGAAAUCCAGAUCGCCUUGAUGAUCGUGGGUUGCCAGAAGGUGCAGACCAUCUCCGAUAAGCUGUGCCUGUCGCCAAAAACCGUCAACACCUACCGCUAUCGUAUCUUCGAGAAGCUUUCCAUCAGCAGUGAUGUUGAAUUGACCUUGCUGCCGGUGCGCCACGGCAUGGUGGACACCAGCGCCUGA